AACAUGAUGUUCAAAAGAAAAACAAAAUUACAUUUUUGGAUUUAAAGUUAUUCCAUUACGAUUAUAAUCAGGGAUAAAUUCUGUCAUCUAUGAACAUGAGUUCACAAAACAUUGAUGAAAAGCUGUAUAAUUCCCUCAGUCCAAUAGUCUCCUAUCCUUUGGCAACAGAUGACGAUUCUAAUACAGAAUUCCUCCAAAACCCUGACCUAUUCCCAAUGCCACACCAUCAAACUUGUUCUUUGCUGUCUCAAGACAUGACAAGUUCUCCCUUUCCUAUGGAGCUUGAGGUUGAGGAAAUGAGUAUCCUCGGAAGCAAUAACAUUGAGUCCAGCAGUGUCCAAAGGAAGAACAAACAGGCACAAGAAACACAUGAUAAGGGCAAUAAUAAUAAAGAAAA